GUGGGGAAUCUUCCGCAAUGGACGAAAGUCUGACGGAGCGACGCCGCGUGAGUGGAGAAGGCCUUCGGGUCGUAAAGCUCUGUCAUCAGGGACGAAUGGCCGGUGGAGUGGAAAGCCACCGGAUUGACGGUACCUGAGAAGGAAGCCACGGCUAACUACGUGCCAGCAGCCGCGGUAAUACGUAGGUGGCAAGCGUUGUCCGGAUUUAUUGGGCGUAAAGCGAGCGCAGGUGGUUUCUUAAGUCUGGUGUCAAAGGCUACUGCUCAACAGUAGUGUGCAUUGGAAACUGGGAGACUUGAGUGCAGGAGAGGAGAGUGGAAUUCCAUGUGUAGCGGUGAAAUGCGUAGAUAUAUGGAGGAACACCGGAGGCGAAAGCGGCUCUCUGGCCUGUAACUGACACUGAGGCUCGAAAGCGUGGGGAGCAAACAGGAUUAGAUACCCGUGUAGUCC
rnacentral:rRNA from 1 species